rnacentral:rRNA from 1 species
UACGUAGGGUGCGAGCGUUGUCCGGAAUUAUUGGGCGUAAAGAGCUUGUAGGCGGUUUGUCGCGUCUGCUGUGAAAUCUCAAGGCUCAACCUUGAGCUUGCAGUGGGUACGGGCAGACUAGAGUGUGGUAGGGGAGACUGGAAUUCCUGGUGUAGCGGUGAAAUGCGCAGAUAUCAGGAGGAACACCGAUGGCGAAAGCAGGUCUCUGGGCCACUACUGACGCUGAGAAGCGAAAGCAUGGGGAGCGAACAGG